rnacentral:tRNA from 1 species
GGGGGCGAAUGGGCUCUGGUGGGCUCCCUGGACUUCAAAUCCAGUCGGCGGGUGCUAAUCACGUCCGCGGUGGGUUCGAUUCCCACGCGUCCCC